UCAAAGGCCCUUUUUAGGGCCGCCCACCUUCUCCUGAAGAGAGCUG
rfam:Ictidomys tridecemlineatus contig091230, whole genome shotgun sequence.